rnacentral:rRNA from 1 species
GAUGAACGCUGGCGGCGUGCCUAAUACAUGCAAGUCGAGCGAACAGACGAGGAGCUUGCUCCUCUGACGUUAGCGGCGGAAGGGUGAGUAACACGUGGAUAACCCACCUAUAAGACUGGGAUAACUUCGGGAAACCGGAGCUAAUACCGGAUAAUAUAUUGAACCGUAUGGUUCAAUAGUGAAAGACGGUUUUGCUGUCACUUAUAGAUGGAUCCGAGCCGCAUUAGCUAGUUGGUAAGGUAACGGCUUACCACGGCAACGAUGCGUAGGCGACCUGAGAGGGGGAUCGGCCACACUGGAGGUGAGACACGGCCCAGACUCCUGCGGUAGGCAGCAGUAGGGAAUCUUCCGCAAGGGGCGAGAGCUUUACGGAGCAACGCCGCGUGAGUGAUGAAGGUCUCCGGAUCGGAAAGCUCUGUUAUUAGGGGAGAACAAAUGUGUAAUUAACUGUGCAGGUCUUGACGGUACCGAAUCAGAAAGCCACGGCUAACUACGUG